rnacentral:rRNA from 1 species
GAUAGAGGAUGCAAGCGUUAUCCAGAAUGAUUGGGCGUAAAGCGUCUGUAGGUGGCUUUUCAAGUCCGCCGUCAAAUCCCAGGGCUCAACCCUGGUCAGGCGGUGGAAACUACCAAGCUGGAGUACGGUAGGGGCAGGGGAAUUUCCGGUGGAGCGGUGAAAUGCGUAGAGAUCGGAAAGAACACCAACGGCGAAAGCACUCUGCUGGGCCGACACUGACACUGAGAGACGAAAGCUAGGGGAGCGAAUGGG